GAUGAACGCUAGCGGCAGGCUUAAUACAUGCAAGUCGAGGGGCAGCAUGUCCCGACGCAAGUCGGGAUGAUGGCGACCGGCAAACGGGUGCGGAACACGUACAGAACCUUCCUUCGAGCGGGGAAUAGCCCAGAGAAAUUUGGAUUAAUACCCCAUAGCAUAUUGAUAAGGCAUCUUAUUAAUAUUAAAGAUUUAUCACUUGAAGAUGGCUGUGCGGCUGAUUAGGUAGUUGGCGGGUAACGGCCACCAAGCCUACGAUCAGUAACUGGUGUGAGAGCACGACCAGUCACACGGGCACUGAGACACGGGCCCGACUCCUACGGGAGGCAGCAGUAAGGAAUAUUGGUCAAUGGACGCAAGUCUGAACCAGCCAUGCCGCGUGGAGGAUGAAGGUCCUCUGGAUUGUAAACUUCUUUUAUCUGGGACGUAAAAAGGUUUUCUAGACCGACUGACGGUACCAG
rnacentral:rRNA from 1 species